AAAAAAUUAAUUAAUUAAACUUACCUUGACAUGUAAAAGUUAAUCCCAUUUUUCUUGUUUCAAAAUUUUCAGCUAAUUCCCCAAUUUCACGCUAUUCUCCUCAAAAUUGCCAGAUUAUUCAUCAAAUAUAUUGAUUAUUAAGGAUGCAAAUUUUUGGAUUUCUGGAAAAUUUCGUAUUGUUAUGCAAUGGCUGACUCGGUCAGGUUUACUAGAGAUAUACACAACAAUAUAAAUUUAUCGGAAUUUCCUUCAUUUGAUUUGUGCAUUACUCAAGAAUCGAUCGAAAAUGUAGGUUCUGUGGGUAGAAUGGCACAAGAGUCUAAAAUGGCUCGAGAGAGCUCUUCCAAAAAAAGGAAAGUGUUGUGUCUGAAACCCCUGAUGAUCAAGGAGAAGAUCGAUGUAUGAAGUAUUACUUUUUGACGAUGAAGAGAUAAAGUAUUCCAGCGGAUAUUUUGGAUACAUCAUGUCUACGGUCAAGCUACUCUACACUUCUUUGAAAUUAUGGCCAACAAAAAAAUGAUGUCGGAGCAAUAAGUGAUAAUGAAGCACCUCCACGACAUAGCAGAAUUAAUGUAUCACUAGAGGAUAUUGAUACAAUCCAAAUAGAUUAGUCGCUGUCUAUUUUUUGGUGUGUCAAUACACAUUAGUUUUUGUAUUACUAUGAAACGAUUUUAACGGGUUUCAGAUAUUGUUUUUAUUAAUGUAGAAAAUAUUGAAAUUCUGGUUAAA